CCCUGGGUGGCGAGAAUUCGCCAUCGAAUUGUCAUCAACUGAGCUAUCACUUGCGUAAGGAAUCAAGUGCUUCACAUUAAACACAUCGGCAGUACAAAUGUGGCUGGGAAGCUUAAGCCGAUAGACGUUCGGAUUGAUCUUCUCCACGACCUCCACAAAACCAAUUUUUAUGGCAGUGAGCUUGUGGUAGUCACCAGCAAAAAAACGAUCCUUGAUAAAGACAGCCCACACAAAAUCACAAACUUCAAACUCCACGUGCCUUCUCCCGUUUGAUCCUUGUACGCUGCAUCAUCAUGGCUCAAGCGAGCGGCGUGGUGGUCAACAAGGUGGCCACGUCUGGGGGGACCGACAAGUUCGUCCUGGCCUUCUACAACAACUCAGUCUCCGCCUUCCCCCUCCUCCCUUCUCUCCUCCUUUACCGCAGGUACUGUCUUGAACAAACAACUUGAAUGGCAACCGUAUCCCCUGGUCUAAGACAGCCUUAUCUAAGGGCUCGGUUGCCCUCCUCUGACAACCUACCUCCUCCUCAGAUUCUCAUCACAGAUAUCUGGAUUCAUCGGCAUCAAUUACAGCUCUCCUACUCUUGGUACUGCACUUAUGAAUCUCAUCUCGGCAUUAACCUUCAUACUGGCCAUCAUUUUCCGAUGGAAAAGCUCGAGCACCAAAGCAAAGAUAGUUGGAACCAUAGUAUCAAGGGGUUUUUACCUAAAAUGACCCAUGGUUUGUCUGUUUUGUCAAAUUUAUCAUAUGCUUUUUUUUUUGUCAAAUCUAUCUCAUUGUUUACUUUUUGCAUCAAAUCUAUCCCGGCGUUAUCUUUUCCGUCGACAUUUAACGGCCAUGCUGACGUGACACGUGAAGAGAUA